AGAGUUUGAUCCUGGCUCAGGAUGAACGCUGACAGAAUGCUUAACACAUGCAAGUCUACUUGAAUUCUCUUUGGAGAUAGUAAGGUGGCGGACGGGUGAGUAACACGUAAAGAACUUGCCCUGCAGUCUGGGACAACUAUUGGAAACGAUAGCUAAUACCAGAUAUUAUGCGAGAGCCGCAUGGCUCUUUCAUGAAAGCUAUAUGCGCUGCAGGAGAGCUUUGCGUCCCAUUAGUUAGUUGGUGAGGUAACGGUUCACCAAGACCGCGAUGGGUAGCCGGCCUGAGAGGGUGAACGGCCACAAGGGGACUGAGACACGGCCCUUACUCCUACGGGAGGCAGCAGUGGGGAAUAUUGGACAAUGGACCAAAAGUCUGAUCCAGCAAUUCUGUGUGCACGAUGAAGGUCUUCGGAUUGUAAAGUGCUUUCAGUUGGGAAGAAGAAAGUGACGGUACCAACAGAAGAAGCGACGGCUAAAUACGUGCCAGCAGCCGCGGUAAUACGUAUGUCGCAAGCGUUAUCCGGAUUUAUUGGGCGUAAAGCGCGUCUAGGCGGAAAAAUAAGUCUGAUGUGAAAAUGCGGGGCUCAACUCCGUAUUGCGUUGGAAACUGUUUUUCUAGAGUACUGGAGAGGUGGGCGGAACUACAAGUGUAGAGGUGAAAUUCGUAGAUAUUUGUAGGAAUGCCGAUGGAGAAGUCAGCUCACUGGACAGAUACUGACGCUGAAGCGCGAAAGCGUGGGGAGCAAACAGGAUUAGAUACCCUGGUAGUCCAUGCCGUAAACGAUGAUUACUAGGUGUAGGGGUUUCAACACCUCUGUGCCGCCGCUAACGCAUUAAGUAUUCCGCCUGGGGAGUACGGUCGCAAGAUUAAAACUCAAAGGAAUUGACGGGGGCCCGCACAAGUAGCGGAGCAUGUGGUUUAAUUCGAAGCAACGCGAAGAACCUUACCUAGACUUGACAUCUUCUGCAUUACCCUGUAAUGGGGGAAGUUCCUUCGGGAACAGAAUGACAGGUGGUGCAUGGUUGUCGUCAGCUCGUGUCGUGAGAUGUUGGGUUAAGUCCCGCAACGAGCGCAACCCCUAUUGUUAGUUGCUACCAUUAAGUUGAGCACUCUAGCGAGACUGCCCGGGUUAACCGGGAGGAAGGUGGGGAUGACGUCAAAUCAUCAUGCCCCUUAUGAUUUGGGCUACACACGUGCUACAAUGGCGUAAACAAAGGGAAGCGAGCCUGCGAAGGUAAGCAAAUCCCAAAAAUAACGUCCCAGUUCGGACUGCAGUCUGCAACUCGACUGCACGAAGCUGGAAUCGCUAGUAAUCGCGAAUCAGAAUGUCGCGGUGAAUACGUUCCCGGGUCUUGCACUCACCGCCCGUCA
rnacentral:rRNA from 1 species